UACAGAGGUCUCAAGCGUUGUUCGGAUUCAUUGGGCGUAAAGGGUGUGUAGGUGGCGCCGUAAGUCGGGUGUGAAAUUUCGGAGCUUAACUCCGAAACUGCAUUCGAUACUGCGGUGCUUGAGGACUGGAGAGGAGACUGGAAUUCAUGGUGUAGCAGUGAAAUGCGUAGAGAUUUGGAGGAACACCAGUGGCGAAGGCGACUUUCUGGUCUGUAACUGACACUGAGGCGCGAAAGCGUGGGGAGCAAACAGG
rnacentral:rRNA from 1 species